rnacentral:pre_miRNA from 1 species
CGGAGGAGGCCGGAUCCUGGGCUGUGUCCCGGCGCCCUGUGCUCCGGGGCCUGCGCUGUUGGAUUCGCGCUCCCGGGCCGCGCAACCCCCU